GGGGGUGUGGUCUAGGGGUAUGACAUUCCCUUCGCAUUGUUUCAUUCAUGCCUGGGAAAGGCCCGGGGUUCAAUUCCCCGCUCCUCCA